GACCGCAUAGCUCAAUUGGAAGAGCUUUUGAAUAGUAUUCCAAAGGUCGUAGGUUCGAAUCCUGCCGCGGCCA